rnacentral:rRNA from 1 species
GAUGAACGCUAGCUACAGGCUUAACACAUGCAAGUCGAGGGGCAGCAUGGUCUUAGCUUGCUAAGGCCGAUGGCGACCGGCGCACGGGUGAGUAACACGUAUCCAACCUGCCGUCUACUCUUGGACAGCCUUCUGAAAGGAAGAUUAAUACAAGAUGGCAUCAUGAGUCCGCAUGUUCACAUGAUUAAAGGUAUUCCGGUAGACGAUGGGGAUGCGUUCCAUUAGAUAGUAGGCGGGGUAACGGCCCACCUAGUCUUCGAUGGAUAGGGGUUCUGAGAGGAAGGUCCCCCACAUUGGAACUGAGACACGGUCCAAACUCCUACGGGAGGCAGCAGUGAGGAAUAUUGGUCAAUGGGCGAGAGCCUGAACCAGCCAAGUAGCGUGAAGGAUGACUGCCCUAUGGGUUGUAAACUUCUUUUAUAAAGGAAUAAAGUCGGGUAUGCAUACCCGUUUGCAUGUACUUUAUGAAUAAGGAUCGGCUAACUCCGUGCCAGCAGCCGCGGUAAUACGGAGGAUCCGAGCGUUAUCCGGAUUUAUUGGGUUUAAAGGGAGCGUAGAUGGAUGUUUAAGUCAGUUGUGAAAGUUUGCGGCUCAACCGUAAAAUUGCAGUUGAUACUGGAUAUCUUGAGUGCAGUUGAGGCAGGCGGAAUUCGUGGUGUAGCGGUGAAAUGCUUAGAUAUCACGAAGAACUCCGAUUGCGAAGGCAGCCUGCUAAGCUGCAACUGACAUUGAGGCUCGAAAGUGUGGGUAUCAAACAGGAUUAGAUACCCUGGUAGUCCACACGGUAAACGAUGAAUACUCGCUGUUUGCGAUAUACAGCAAGCGGCCAAGCGAAAGCGUUAAGUAUUCCACCUGGGGAGUACGCCGGCAACGGUGAAACUCAAAGGAAUUGACGGGGGCCCGCACAAGCGGAGGAACAUGUGGUUUAAUUCGAUGAUACGCGAGGAACCUUACCCGGGCUUAAAUUGCAGAUGAAUUACGGUGAAAGCCGUAAGCCGCAAGGCAUCUGUGAAGGUGCUGCAUGGUUGUCGUCAGCUCGUGCCGUGAGGUGUCGGCUUAAGUGCCAUAACGAGCGCAACCCUUGUUGUCAGUUACUAACAGGUUCCGCUGAGGACUCUGACAAGACUGCCAUCGUAAGAUGUGAGGAAGGUGGGGAUGACGUCAAAUCAGCACGGCCCUUACGUCCGGGGCUACACACGUGUUACAAUGGGGGGUACAGAGGGCCGCUACCACGCGAGUGGAUGCCAAUCCCAAAAACCUCUCUCAGUUUCGGACUGGAGUUCCGCAACCCGACUCCACGAAAGCUGGAUUUCGCUUAGUAAUCGCGCAUCAGCCACGGCGCGGUGAAUACGUUCCCGGGCCU